rnacentral:rRNA from 1 species
UACGUAGGGCGCAAGCGUUUAUCCGGAAUUAUUGGGCGUAAAGAGCUCGUAGGUGGUUUGUCGCGUUGUUCGUGAAAACUCACAGCUCAACUGUGGGCGUGCGGGCGAUACGGGCAGACUAGAGUACUGCAGGGGAGACUGGAAUUCCUGGUGUAGCGGUGGAAUGCGCAGAUAUCAGGAGGAACACCGGUGGCGAAGGCGGGUCUCUGGGCAGUAACUGACGCUGGAGGAGCGAAAGCCAUGGGGAGCGAACAGGA